UGCAGUCGAACGAUGAUCCGGUGCUUGCACCGGGGAUUAGUGGCGAACGGGUGAGUAACACGUGAGUAACCUGCCCUUAACUCUGGGAUAAGCCUGGGAAACUGGGUCUAAUACCGGAUAUGACUCCUCAUCGCAUGGUGGGGGGUGGAAAGCUUUUUGUGGUUUUGGAUGGACUCGCGGCCUAUCAGCUUGUUGGUGAGGUAAUGGCUUACCAAGGCGACGACGGGUAGCCGGCCUGAGAGGGUGACCGGCCACACUGGGACUGAGACACGGCCCAGACUCCUACGGGAGGCAGCAGUGGGGAAUAUUGCACAAUGGGCGCAAGCCUGAUGCAGCGACGCCGCGUGAGGGAUGACGGCCUUCGGGUUGUAAACCUCUUUCAGUAGGGAAGAAGCGAAAGUGACGGUACCUGCAGAAGAAGCGCCGGCUAACUACGUGCCAGCAGCCGCGGUAAUACGUAGGGCGCAAGCGUUAUCCGGAAUUAUUGGGCGUAAAGAGCUCGUAGGCGGUUUGUCGCGUCUGCCGUGAAAGUCCGGGGCUCAACUCCGGAUCUGCGGUGGGUACGGGCAGACUAGAGUGAUGUAGGGGAGACUGGAAUUCCUGGUGUAGCGGUGAAAUGCGCAGAUAUCAGGAGGAACACCGAUGGCGAAGGCAGGUCUCUGGGCAUUAACUGACGCUGAGGAGCGAAAGCAUGGGGAGCGAACAGGAUUAGAUACCCUGGUAGUCCAUGCCGUAAACGUUGGGCACUAGGUGUGGGGGACAUUCCACGUUUUCCGCGCCGUAGCUAACGCAUUAAGUGCCCCGCCUGGGGAGUACGGCCGCAAGGCUAAAACUCAAAGGAAUUGACGGGG
rnacentral:rRNA from 1 species